UUAAUUGAAACCAAAAAGAGGUAAAUCACUGUUAAUGAUUUUAAUGACUAUAAUCCAAUUAAA
rnacentral:tRNA from 1 species